rnacentral:rRNA from 1 species
CACGGGGGUUGCGAGCGUUGUCCGGAAUUACUAGGCGUAAAGGGCAGGUAGGCGGAUCUACGAGUUUUUUGUUAAAGGCUACGGCUCAACUGUAGUAGAGCAGGAGAUACUGUAGGUCUGGAAUGCGGUAGGGGAAGACAGAAUUCCUGGUGUAGCGGUGGAAUGCGCAGAGAUCAGGAGGAAUACCGAAGGCGAAGGCAGUCUUCUAGGCCGUAAUUGACGCUUAACUGCGAAGGUGUGGGGAUCAAACAGGAUUAGAUACCCUGGUAGUCCACACAGUAAACGAUAAUCACUAGAUGUCGGGUUCUAGAUGGAUUCGGUGUCGGAGCUAACGCGUUAAGUUCGCCGCCUGGGGAGUACGGUCGCAAGACUGAA